ACGCCGGUAGCUCAGUUUGCAGAGCAUUGGAACGGUACCCCACGGUCCCGGGUUCGAAGUCCCGGCCGACGUU